rnacentral:tRNA from 1 species
CGGUAGCUCAACCGGAUAGAGCAACGGCCUUCUAAGCCGUAGGUUACUGGUUCGAGUCCAGUCCG